CUAGUAACGGCCGCCAGUGUGCUGGAAUUCGCCCUUCGGUGUGUACAAGGCCCGGGAACGUAUUCACCGCGCCGUGGCUGAUGCGCGAUUACUAGCGAAUCCAGCUUCAUGAAGUCGGGUUGCAGACUUCAAUCCGAACUGAGAGAGGUUUUUGGGAUUGGCAUCCACUUGCGUGGUAGCAGCCCUCUGUACCCCCCAUUGUAACACGUGUGUAGCCCCGGACGUAAGGGCCGUGCUGAUUUGACGUCAUCCCCACCUUCCUCACAUCUUACGAUGGCAGUCCCGACAGAGUCCUCAGCAUAACCUGUUAGUAACUAUCGGCAAGGGUUGCGCUCGUUAUGGCACUUAAGCCGACACCUCACGGCACGAGCUGACGACAACCAUGCAGCACCUUCACAACCGCUAUUGCUAGCUAUAGCGUUUCCGCCAUAUUCGGUUGCAAUUUAAGCCCGGGUAAGGUUCCUCGCGUAUCAUCGAAUUAAACCACAUGUUCCUCCGCUUGUGCGGGCCCCCGUCAAUUCCUUUGAGUUUCACCGUUGCCGGCGUACUCCCCAGGUGGAAUACUUAAUGCUUUCGCUUGGCCGCAGACUGUAUAUCGCCUACAGCGAGUAUUCAUCGUUUACCGUGUGGACUACCAGGGUAUCUAAUCCUGUUUGAUACCCACACUUUCGAGCAUCAAUGUCAGUUACAGGUUAGUAAGCUGCCUUCGCAAUCGGAGUUCUUCGUGAUAUCUAAGCAUUUCACCGCUACACCACGAAUUCCGCCUACCUCAACUGUACUCAAGACUGCCAGUAUCAAUUGCAAUUUUACGGUUGAGCCGCAAACUUUCACAACUGACUUAACAACCCAUCUACGCUCCCUUUAAACCCAAUAAAUCCGGAUAACGCUCGGAUCCUCCGUAUUACCGCGGCUGCUGGCACGGAGUUAGCCGAUCCUUAUUCAUACGGUACAUGCAAAAAUCCACACGUGGAUUCGUUUAUUCCCGUAUAAAAGAAGUUUACAAUCCAUAGAACCUUCAUCCUUCACGCUACUUGGAUGGUUCAGACUCUCGUCCAUUGACCAAUAUUCCUCACUGCUGCCUCCCGUAGGAGUUUGGACCGUGUCUCAGUUCCAAUGUGGGGGGACCUUCCUCUCAGAACCCCUAUCCAUCG
rnacentral:rRNA from 1 species